CCUGAGAAACCCGAAAGAUCGAUCGAGGAGAUUCAUCGUCAGCGGGGUCGGCUUCCAUGUGGUACGCGAUGAUGUUGAGUUUUCUCAAUUCACGCUACCGCUGUGGUAUGCGUCCGAUCACGUCGGCGUGCACUUCUCCUCUAGUAGAACGUCGCGACCCGCUGGGUGUCGGUUUAAGGAUUCAGGAUCGUUGACUGUACCGUCGCUUCGGCGUUACGUGUGCAGACGCUUGAUUAUUCCCGACCGACUGCCCGACGGUAGACACAAGGUAUCGAGCCGCACUCGAAUGCGUUCAGACUCGUUGCAAGCUUUAUCAUUCUACCGGAUGUUCGGACCCAGUGCCGUCCCUGGUGAUGAUUGGCUGUUGGUUGACGAUGUUCUCGAACCGGCUUACACAUGCUGUACAGCGAUACCGGUCGGCGACGCUAUUGCUUUGGGUACUUUCAGGACCCGUCUUGAAACACGGACCAAGGAGUCUAACAUGUGCGCGAGUCAUUGGGAUUAUUUAAACCUAAAGGCGUAUUGAAAGAGAAGAUCGUCCUUGCGUCGAUCGAGGGAGGAUGGGCAUACGUUUCGAUGUUGCCCCGCACUCCCGGGGCGUCUCGCAGUCAUCGCGACUUGAGGCGCACCCAGAGCGUACACGUUGGGACCCGAAAGAUGGUGAACUAUGCCUGGUCAGGACGAAGUCAGGGGAAACCCUGAUGGAGGUCCGUAGCGAUUCUGACGUGCAAAUCGAUCGUCGGAACUGGGUAUAG
rnacentral:rRNA from 1 species